rnacentral:rRNA from 1 species
CCUACGGGUGGCAGCAGUGGGGAAUAUUGGACAAUGGGCGAAAGCCUGAUCCAGCCAUGCCGCGUGUGUGAAGAAGGCCUUCGGGUUGUAAAGCACUUUCAGUGGGGAAGAAAGCCUUGGGGCUAAUACCCUCGAGGAAGGACAUCACCCACAGAAGAAGCACCGGCUAACUCCGUGCCAGCAGCCGCGGUAAUACGGAGGGUGCGAGCGUUAAUCGGAAUUACUGGGCGUAAAGCGCGCGUAGGCGGUCUGAUAAGCCGGUUGUGAAAGCCCCGGGCUCGACCUGGGAACGGCAUCCGGAACUGUCAGGCUAGAGUGCAGGAGAGGAAGGUAGAAUUCCCGGUGUAGCGGUGAAAUGCGUAGAGAUCGGGAGGAAUACCAGUGGCGAAGGCGGCCUUCUGGACUGACACUGACGCUGAGGUGCGAAAGCGUGGGUAGCAAACAGGAUUAGAUACCCCGGUAGUC